rnacentral:rRNA from 1 species
ACGAACGCUGGCGGCGUGCUUAACACCUGCAAGUCGAACGGGAAGGCCCUGCUUUUGUGGGGUGCUCGAGUGGCGAACGGGUGAGUAACACGUGAGUAACCUGCCCUUGACUUUGGGAUAACUUCAGGAAACUGGGGCUAAUACCGGAUAGGAGCUCCUGCUGCAUGGUGGGGGUUGGAAAGUUUCGGCGGUUGGGGAUGGACUCGCGGCUUAUCAGCUUGUUGGUGGGGUAGUGGCUUACCAAGGCUUUGACGGGUAGCCGGCCUGAGAGGGUGACCGGCCACAUUGGGACUGAGAUACGGCCCAGACUCCUACGGGAGGCAGCAGUGGGGAAUAUUGCACAAUGGGCGGAAGCCUGAUGCAGCAACGCCGCGUGCGGGAUGACGGCCUUCGGGUUGUAAACCGCUUUCGCCUGUGACGAAGCGUGAGUGACGGUAAUGGGUAAAGAAGCACCGGCUAACUACGUG